rnacentral:rRNA from 1 species
GAUGAACGCUGGCGGCGUGCUUAAUACAUGCAAGUCGAACGGAAAGGCCCGGCUUUUGUGGGGUGCUCGAGUGCCGAACGGGUGAGUAACACGUGUGUAACCUGUCCCUGACUUUGUGAUAACUUUACGAAACUGCGGCUCUUACCGGAUAGGAGCUCCUGCUGCAUGGUGUGGGUUGGUAAGUUUCGGCGGUUGGGGAUGGUCUCGCGGCUUAUCAGCUUGUUGGUGUGGUAGUGGCUUACGAAGCGUUCGACGGGUAGCCGGCCUGAGAGGGGGGCCGGGGACAUGGGGACUGAGAGAGGGAGCAGACGGGAACGGGACGCAGCAGUGGGGAGUAUGGCAGAGUGGGCGGGAGUGAGAGGCGGCGGCGCCGCGUGCGGGAUGACGGGCUUCGGGUUGUGAACCGCUGUGGCCUGUGACGAAGCGUGAGUGACGGUAAUGGGUAAAGAAGCACCGGCUAACUACGUG